rnacentral:rRNA from 1 species
UACAGAGGGUGCGAGCGUUAAUCGGAAUUACUGGGCGUAAAGCGUGCGUAGACGGUUAUUUAAGUCGGGUGUGAAAGCCCCGGGCUCAACCUGGGAAUUGCAUUCGAAACUGAAUAGCUAGGGUACGGUAGAGGGAAGUGGAAUUUCCGGUGUAGCGGUGAAAUGCGUAGAUAUCGGAAGGAACAUCAGUGGCGAAAGCGACUUCCUGGACCAGUACUGACGUUCAGGCACGAAAGCGUGGGGAGCAAACAGG